UGCCAGCAGCCGCGGUAACACCGGCAGCUCAAGUGGUAGCCAUUUUUAUUGGGCCUAAAGCGUUCGUAGCCGGUUUGAUAAGUCUCUGGUGAAAUCCUAUGGCUUAACUGUGGGAAUUGCUGGAGAUACUAUUAGACUUGAGGUCGGGAGAGGUUAGCGGUACUCCCAGGGUAGGGGUGAAAUCCUGUAAUCCUGGGAGGACCACCUGUGGCGAAGGCGGCUAACUGGAACGAACCUGACGGUGAGGGACGAAAGCCAGGGGCGCGAACCGGAUUAGAUA
rnacentral:rRNA from 1 species